AGUGAACGCUGGCGGUGGGCCUAACACAUGCAAGUCGAACGGCAGCACAGUAAGAGCUUGCUCUUACGGGUGGCGAGUGGCGGACGGGUGAGGAAUACAUCGGAAUCUACUUUUUCGUGGGGGAUAACGUAGGGAAACUUACGCUAAUACCGCAUACGACCUACGGGUGAAAGCAGGGGAUCUUCGGACCUUGCGCGAUUGAAUGAGCCGAUGUCGGAUUAGCUAGUUGGCGGGGUAAAGGCCCACCAAGGCGACGAUCCGUAGCUGGUCUGAGAGGAUGAUCGGCCACACUGGAACUGAGACACGGUCCAGACUCCUACGGGAGGCAGCAGUGGGGAAUAUUGGACAAUGGGCGCAAGCCUGAUCCAGCCAUACCGCGUGGGUGAAGAAGGCCUUCGGGUUGUAAAGCCCUUUUGUUGGGAAAGAAAAGCAGCAGGUUAAUACCCCGCUGUUCUGACGGUACCCAAAGAAUAAGCACCGGCUAACUUCGUG
rnacentral:rRNA from 1 species